AUUCAGCUGAAAAGUCCUAAAUAGGACGAAAAGCGAGUCUUGAAU
rnacentral:hammerhead_ribozyme from 1 species